rnacentral:rRNA from 1 species
AAAUUGAAGAGUUUGAUCAUGGCUCAGAUUGAACGCUGGCGGCAGGCCUAACACAUGCAAGUCGAACGGUAACAGGAAGCAGCUUGCUGCUUCGCUGACGAGUGGCGGACGGGUGAGUAAUGUCUGGGAAGCUGCCUGAUGGAGGGGGAUAACUACUGGAAACGGUGGCUAAUACCGCAUAACGUCGCAAGACCAAAGAGGGGGACCUUCGGGCCUCUUGCCAUCAGAUGUGCCCAGAUGGGAUUAGCUAGUUGGUGAGGUAACGGCUCACCAAGGCGACGAUCCCUAGCUGGUCUGAGAGGAUGACCAGCCACACUGGAACUGAGACACGGUCCAGACUCCUACGGGAGGCAGCAGUGGGGAAUAUUGCACAAUGGGCGCAAGCCUGAUGCAGCCAUGCCGCGUGUAUGAAGAAGGCCUUAGGGUUGUAAAGUACUUUCAGCGGGGAGGAAGGUGUUGUGGUUAAUAACCGCAGCAAUUGACGUUACCCGCAGAAGAAGCACCGGCUAACUCCGUGCCAGCAGCCGCGGUAAUACGGAGGGUGCAAGCGUUAAUCGGAAUUACUGGGCGUAAAGCGCACGCAGGCGGUCUGUCAAGUCGGAUGUGAAAUCCCCGGGCUCAACCUGGGAACUGCAUUCGAAACUGGCAGGCUUGAGUCUUGUAGAGGGGGGUAGAAUUCCAGGUGUAGCGGUGAAAUGCGUAGAGAUCUGGAGGAAUACCGGUGGCGAAGGCGGCCCCCUGGACAAAGACUGACGCUCAGGUGCGAAAGCGUGGGGAGCAAACAGGAUUAGAUACCCUGGUAGUCCACGCCGUAAACGAUGUCUACUUGGAGGUUGUGCCCUUGAGGCGUGGCUUCCGGAGCUAACGCGUUAAGUAGACCGCCUGGGGAGUACGGCCGCAAGGUUAAAACUCAAAUGAAUUGACGGGGGCCCGCACAAGCGGUGGAGCAUGUGGUUUAAUUCGAUGCAACGCGAAGAACCUUACCUGGUCUUGACAUCCACAGAACUUUCCAGAGAUGGAUUGGUGCCUUCGGGAACUGUGAGACAGGUGCUGCAUGGCUGUCGUCAGCUCGUGUUGUGAAAUGUUGGGUUAAGUCCCGCAACGAGCGCAACCCUUAUCCUUUGUUGCCAGCGGUCCGGCCGGGAACUCAAAGGAGACUGCCAGUGAUAAACUGGAGGAAGGUGGGGAUGACGUCAAGUCAUCAUGGCCCUUACGACCAGGGCUACACACGUGCUACAAUGGCGCAUACAAAGAGAAGCGACCUCGCGAGAGCAAGCGGACCUCAUAAAGUGCGUCGUAGUCCGGAUUGGAGUCUGCAACUCGACUCCAUGAAGUCGGAAUCGCUAGUAAUCGUGGAUCAGAAUGCCACGGUGAAUACGUUCCCGGGCCUUGUACACACCGCCCGUCACACCAUGGGAGUGGGUUGCAAAAGAAGUAGGUAGCUUAACCUUCGGGAGGGCGCUUACCACUUUGUGAUUCAUGACUGGGGUGAAGUCGUAACAAGGUAACCGUAGGGGAACCUGCGGUUGGAUCACCUCCUUA